rnacentral:tRNA from 1 species
AGGAGCUUAGGAUUAAGCUAGUUAACCGGCGGCUUUCAACUCCGCAAAAAAGGGAUAGCCCUUAGCUUCUG